rnacentral:rRNA from 1 species
AUUGAACGCUGGCGGCAGGCCUAACACAUGCAAGUCGAGCGGAUGAAGGGAGCUUGCUCCUGGAUUCAGCGGCGGACGGGUGAGUAAUGCCUAGGAAUCUGCCUGGUAGUGGGGGAUAACGUCCGGAAACGGGCGCUAAUACCGCGUACGUCCUGAGGGAGAAAGUGGGGGAUCUUCGGACCUCACGCUAUCAGAUGAGCCUAGGUCGGAUUAGCUAGUUGGUGGGGUAAAGGCCUACCAAGGCGACGAUCCGUAACUGGUCUGAGAGGAUGAUCAGUCACACUGGAACUGAGACACGGUCCAGACUCCUACGGGAGGCAGCAGUGGGGAAUAUUGGACAAAGGGCGAAAGCCUGAUCCAGCCACGCCGCGUGUGUGAAGAAGGUCUUCGGAUUGUAAAGCACUUUAAGUUGGGAGGAAGGGCAGUAAGUUAAUACCUUGCUGUUUUGACGUUACCAACAGAAUAAGCACCGGCUAACUUCGUG